rnacentral:rRNA from 1 species
UACAGAGACUGCAAGCGUUAUUCGGAUUCACUGGGCGUAACGGGUGCGCAGGCGGCCGGGUGUGUCAGAUGUGAAAUCCCGAGGCUUAACCUCGGAACUGCGUCUGAAACUACUCGGCUAGAGUAUUGGAGAGGGUAACGGAAUUCACGGUGUAGCAGUGAAAUGCGUAGAUAUCGUGAGGAACACCAGAGGCGAAGGCGGUUACCUGGACAAUUACUGACGCUCAGGCACGAAAGCAUGGGGAGCAAAAGGG